UUUUUUCUAAAAAAAAAAGAGAUAGCAGCGGCGUACAUCGAGCAAAAAGGAAAAUGAGAGCUCUUCUCUAAUCAGACCCCUAUAGAAAAACGGCACCCUCUAGCUCCAUUAUUCUUCUUUUUGAUUUCCCAAAAAUCACACACAAAAAAGAACCCAGCAGCUCUUUAAUUAUGAGAACCCAGUAGCUCUCAAAUUUCUUCAUUUUCUACUGUCUGUUGAAAAGAGUGUAUGAUUAUAAGGAUAGCAACCAUUUUUAGCUUCAUCCUAAAAGAAAGAGAAACAGCCACCCAUCUCUAACCUCACUCAAAAAUCAAAAAAAAAAAAGAAAAAAAGAGAAGAAGAAGUCGAUAAAAAAAUAUAUAUAUAUAAUCAGAAGCACGCUUGAAGAUUUUGAAAAGGUAGAUUCGAAACUAAAAAAAAGAUUUAGCUGGGUUGGAAACACACUGUUUGUGCUACUGCUUCGGAACCCCAUCAAUGGUAUUGUGGCUUGUGCUUGGUCCAUGCCCGUUGAUUCUCUGCGAUUAGGUAUGUAAACCUUUGCCUAAGAUGCUCCAUUGAUUAUGAAUGGAAGUCUGAGUUGUUUUGGCUAUGUCUGUGCUUAAGUGUUUGAAUCGAUUGCAGUUAUUUUCAUGUUAAGCUUAGGCUCUGAUUUUUUUUUAGGUUGAGAUUGUGCUGAAAUUAUGUGAUUUGCAUUUAAUUAGAUCUUAUGCAAAUUUAGAUUCAACCUCAUCAUGAGUUUAAUCUGAGAAGCAAGAGAUGAAUGUUGAAAGAUUGAUUUGAAUGUUGGUAUGUAAUUCACUAAUAAUUUCCGUUUGUUGUUCUGGACACG
rnacentral:lncRNA from 1 species